rnacentral:rRNA from 1 species
UAUACCGUGAAACUGCGAAUGGCUCAUUAAAUCAGUUAUCGUUUAUUUGAUAAUACCUUACUACUUGGAUAACCGUGGUAAUUCUAGAGCUAAUACAUGCUGAAAAUCCCGACUUCGGAAGGGAUGUGUUUAUUAGAUAAAAAACCAAUGCCCUUCGGGGCUUUUUGGUGAUUCAUGAUAACUUUACGGAUCGCAUAGCCUUGCGCUGGCGACGGUUCAUUCAAAUUUCUGCCCUAUCAACUUUCGAUGGUAAGGUAUUGGCUUACCAUGGUUUCAACGGGUAACGGGGAAUUAGGGUUCGAUUCCGGAGAGGGAGCCUGAGAAACGGCUACCACAUCCAAGGAAGGCAGCAGGCGCGCAAAUUACCCAAUCCCGACACGGGGAGGUAGUGACAAUAAAUACUGAUACAGGGCUCUUUUGGGUCUUGUAAUUGGAAUGAGUACAAUUUAAACCUCUUAACGAGGAACAAUUGGAGGGCAAGUCUGGUGCCAGCAGCCGCGGUAAUUCCAGCUCCAAUAGCGUAUAUUAAAGUUGUUGCAGUUAAAAAGCUCGUAGUUGAAACUUGGGCCUGGCUGGCGGGUCCGCCUCACCGCGUGCACUCGUCCGGCCGGGCCUUCCUUCUGAAGAACCUCAUGCCCUUCACUGGGCGUGCUGGGGAAUCAGGACUUUUACUUUGAAAAAAUUAGAGUGUUCAAAGCAGGCCUUUGCUCGAAUACGUUAGCAUGGAAUAAUAAAAUAGGGCGUGCGUUUCUAUUUUGUUGGUUUCUAGAGACGCCGCAAUGAUUAACAGGAACAGUCGGGGGCAUCAGUAUUCAGUUGUCAGAGGUGAAAUUCUUGGAUUUACUGAAGACUAACUACUGCGAAAGCAUUUGCCAAGGAUGUUUUCAUUAAUCAGUGAACGAAAGUUAGGGGAUCGAAGACGAUCAGAUACCGUCGUAGUCUUAACCGUAAACUAUGCCGACUAGGGAUCGGGCGAUGUUCUUUUUCUGACUCGCUCGGCACCUUACGAGAAAUCAAAGUU